ACAGUGUUACCCAGUAACUAUCCUGCACAGAGUUGACAAGGUGUGACAAUAAUAAACUACUCAUCCACCAAUUUGAUAUGACAAAAAAUUUUGUUUCUUUAGUUUGAGCAUAUGCCUGAGAAAAUUACCCUAUAAGUUGCAGGAUACGAAGUCAACCAAUUCUUUUCAUAAUUUUUUCUGCCUCAGUGAAUUCAAAUGGCUUAAACACAAACCACCGCAAUCAACUGACACCAUCAAAAUCAUGCAGCUUCGGCUUAACUUCGAGAUCAAAGGCCAUUCCAACAUAAUUGGACUCACUCUCUUCUUUUGCUGGCCUGAACAUGAAGAUGGCUAGGAAGGAGAGAGCUAUAAAGCAGUUGUAUCCAUGGGAUAGCAUCCAAGCACCCGCAGAAAUGUCGCAAAUUCCUGCAGAUGUCCUAAAGCACUUUGGGCACGAGGCUCUGCCAUAGAUGCCUCAAAAUCAAUGUAGAAAAGGUAGUCAAAGUACUUGGCACUUCCGGUGUUGGAAUCAUCAACUACUCUUAAUGGCUUUUUUCUUUGUGGCCUGCUUUCUAUCUUUGUCAAAUUUAUGUCCCUCAAUGCAAACACAGCCAAGGCCUUAAACAAGACUCCUGGGCCCUCUUCCAAAGUAAAUACAAUGCUUGUCUUAUAGGGCUUAUCAGUUCUUGGAAUUAUUGGAUCUCUUGCAAGGACCAGAUAACGAGUUACAUUAUCAGAGUCAUCCUGGAUAUUUUCUGCCAGUAUAUUAAGCCCAUAUAUUUCUGAAGCUCGAGCACUUGCUACAGCACCAGCAUCCCUCAGCUCAUUCGAGGCUACAUACUGAGCAGCACCAGCUGCAUCAUCAACAUUUUCUCUUGCUACACUUAACUUACUCAGGAAAAUAUCACUCAAAUCAAGUACCUGUGGAUGGCUUAGAACACGUUUCAACUGCUCUGUUCUGACACCUGGCAUAGCUAGAAGACAGAGGUUAACAAACAAUUGUACUUCACCAACAAUGUGAAGCCUGUGUCGAAGGAGUAAAUCAUAGUUGCGAUGAAUGCUUCCAGCCAAAGAACAUUCAAUUGGAAGAACUGCUUUAUCCGCUAGCCAUAAUUCAACAGCCUUAAAUGCAU
rnacentral:misc_RNA from 1 species